rnacentral:rRNA from 1 species
UGGGGAAUAUUGCACAAUGGAGGGAACUCUGAUGCAGCGACGCCGCGUGAGUGAUGAAGGAAUUCGUUUCGUAAAACUCUGUUCUAUGGGAAGAAAAGGACUGUACCAUAGGAGAAAGCUCCGGCUAAAUACGUGCCAGCAGUCGCGGUAAUACGUAUGGAGCGAGCGUUGUCCGGAAUUAUUGGGCGUAAAGGGUGCGCAGGCGGCUUUACAAGUUGGAUGUGAAAUAUUGUGGCUCAACCACAAACGUGCAUCCAAAACUGCAAAGCUUGAGUUAAGGAGAGGUAAGUGGAAUUCCUGGUGUAGCGGUGGAAUGCGUAGAUAUCAGGAGGAAUACCGGUGGCGAAGGCGACUUACUGGACUUAAACUGACGCUCAGGCACGAAAGCGUGGGGAGCAAACAGG